UUGGAAGUUAAAANUCGUAACAAGGUCUCCGUUGGUGAACCAGCGGAGGGAUCAUUACCGAGUUUACAACUCCCAAACCCCUGUGAACAUACCAAUUGUUGCCUCGGCGGAUCAGCCCGCUCCCGGUAAAACGGGACGGCCCGCCAGAGGACCCCUAAACUCUGUUUCUAUAUGUAACUUCUGAGUAAAACCAUAAAUAAAUCAAAACUUUCAACAACGGAUCUCUUGGUUCUGGCAUCGAUGAAGAACGCAGCAAAAUGCGAUAAGUAAUGUGAAUUGCAGAAUUCAGUGAAUCAUCGAAUCUUUGAACGCACAUUGCGCCCGCCAGUAUUCUGGCGGGCAUGCCUGUUCGAGCGUCAUUUCAACCCUCAAGCCCAGCUUGGUGUUGGGACUCGCGAGUCAAAUCGCGUUCCCCAAAUUGAUUGGCGGUCACGUCGAGCUUCCAUAGCGUAGUAGUAAAACCCUCGUUACUGGUAAUCGUCGCGGCCACGCCGUUAAACCCCAACUUCUGAAUGUUGACCUCGGAUCAGGUAGGAAUACCCGCUGAACUUAAGCAUAUCAUAG
rnacentral:rRNA from 1 species